UUGGUAAUAUUUUUAUAAGGACUGAGAUUUUUGACAGUGCAACUAAACUCUCUGUUGAUGAUGUUUAUGUGUGUAAUUUAAUUACAUAAGCACUCGUCAAGUUUCGGGCGAAAAUGAGCUAAAAUGGAGAAGAUACGCAACUUUUAGUUUUCACUUAAGUGAAUAGUAACUCCGGUUUUCCGGAGAAGCCACGGAGUAGAGUUGGCUUCUGGCGCGUAUCGGACUCUGUUCGUAUCAGUCCAAUAGCUCGUUUCGACCGGUUCAGAUGUUUUGGAACCAAUGGCACUGACGGAAUUGGAUUUGGAUGCACAGAUUUCGAGAAAAAGGGGUUUAAUGGUUUUUGCAUAUAUUUGUCUAUAUGUAGUUUUUGGUGGAACCUGGGAGGGAAGGUUUUGUCGCAAAUCGGGAAUCUUUUCGGGCGAAACGAGAUGCUAGAUUCGAUGCCUCUGUCGUGCUGAUCGCGCUGGUGUGAUCCGAUCGGAAAUUCGACGGACAGAUCUUCGGGAAUCGCGAAAAGUCCGCGAAGGGGCUGAUUUGAAUAAUCGGAUUAUUCGCGAAAAGGCCCUAUAUUUUAUGCGUCGAAUUGCG
rnacentral:lncRNA from 1 species